AGCGGGAUAAGGUAUAGCGAGGCGGUUGUUAUAGUGAAUACAACUCCUUCAGGCUGAUUCAAGAUCCCCCCAAAAAAUCGUACCGCGGAGCAGAAAAUUAUUUGAUUUUGAAAUCGAGCUUCGCACCAAGCGCACGUCAGAAACAGAGGACAGUGUGUGUGUGUGUUCAUCUCUUUAGUACUGUGACUUGACUUGAAACUAAUAAGGACUCGACUUCACCUGCUUAGGGUGAACCCUUGACUUGACUUGACUUGCUUGAUUUAUCUGAACUGUGACUUGAGACUUGACUCGAGACUUGAUGGUUAAGACUUGAGACUUGCUUGGACUUGACCAUGUGUGACUUGUCCCCAUCUCUGGCUGUCACUUUUGAAAAAAAAUUCGAACGGAUAUCGAAUAUCAAGCAAUGCAUUAGAAUAUAUUCGAAUAUCUACGAGCCCAGAUUCUUUCCUUACUGUAAUAUUGUUUGCUAGAAAGGCCAAUCUAUCAACUUGAUCUGGAACAAGUGCGGCUCUCUUUUUAUUGGUGAUAUUCCCCGCGGUGGAGAAUGCAUGUUUGGAGCGCUCACCUGGCGCGCGCGCGCGCACACACACACACUUCAACGGUUACUUUACCAUCUCCGGUGUAGAACCCAACAUAUUUCUCAACACUACUUUUUAGAUGAGUUUGGGUCGUAAUUGCAUGUCUGCUCAGGCUGGCUUUUCUGUGCAUUAUCUCUAGCUGCCAACUCUCACACAUAUUGGUUUUACACGCCACACCCCUGAUUUCUCAAGCUGAAUUGUCAACCCGGUCGGUCUAAUGCCUGAAAGAUGAUUUUAUCUAUAGAUAUACCGGCUUCCUGAUGCACGCAUAUUAGUUCAAAUCUCCCGCAAUCUAAAGCGUGCGCAUGCAAGACAGAGACUGUGCUCCGCAGCGCGCGCACACCAGAGAGGGAGAAUGGCAUUAAACUAAUCAUACACUGUAAAAUUGCGCUAUUACACGUCACUUUAAAAACCGAAUAGUUUAUUUAUGGUUCACGUCAUGUUCGAAUGUACAUUUGAAUAUUGAAUAAAAAGUGACAGCCCUAUUGUGUUGUGCAUUGUCAUUUGAGUGUGAUGAUAACUUUGAAUUUAUAUGCUAGGACAUCCCCCCCCAAAAGUGUCAGAGUGAUGUAUGCACAGGGGAUAGUAGCUUUGUUUCCCUGUCUAGAAGACCCAUACUCACAACAUGGAUAUGAACAUUACUACGAUCCAGAGAGUGGUUCGGGAUAUCUUUCAUGGCGAUUAAAGACCAUACAAAGAAAAACAGCAGAGGAAAGAGGUGCCUCAAUCAGCAUAUCUCCUAAAGUUGGUGGGCCAGGUCGUGGUCGUCAGCCCUGUACCUUUGACAGAGACCCAUCUGAUGAGGAUGUGGAAGCAGCUAUUUCUGUUUUGAGACACUCUGCUGAUGAAAAGACUGUCCGUGAGAAGAUGAAAGUGACCUUCAUAUAUCGGCAAGCAAUGGUCAACGAUGAAGCCAAAUCAUCAGAUGUCUUCUCUGUUUUUCCACGAUUUCUGGACACACCGGGACUGGUAUGACAUCUUAAUUCACAGCAUUACCAAAAUAUCCAAUGUAGCAUUAGGUUUCACUCAUCACUUCUGUCGAUGUGUGUUACAUUGCAGAUAGAACAAGAUUUCAGAUUUCUGUUUGGUGAGGCCACGGCCAACAAAUUAUUGGAAAAGUGGCCAACCACUUUUAAAGCAAAAGUAAUAAUGGGUUUGUAUAUCGCCAAAACUUGGUUAUCUGUGGCAAAGUUGAAUCUGAAGUGCCUGUGUUUUUUCAGAUUGAGUCAGUUCUGAUAAUGUGUGAAAAUCUGUUGCUACUCACAGUCCCUUUAGGUACAGUAACAUCUCAAGAACAUUUCCAUGCAUAUGAGGUGAUCAGGACAAAGCAGGAUUUAGUUUUUUUUCACGUCGACAACCUGCAUUACCCUAUGCCUUUUGACUUAAAAAUGUCAUAUGGAGGGAAUGACACAACUCUCUUUGUCGUGCCAUAUUGAUUUCUCUGGUAAACAGUUUGUGAUGUUAAUGAUGUUGUACAUGUUAUGUUUCUGUCAGAGACAAGACAGUGUGUUUGCAAUGUAAAUUCAAUUACAUUGAAAUGCUUUAUUUAUUUUCUUUACAAUAAAUUGUAAGUUCU
ensembl:lncRNA